UACGUAGGUGGCAAGCGUUGUCCGGAUUUACUGGGCGUAAAGGAUGCGUAGGCGGACAUUUAAGUCAGAUGUGAAAUACCCGAGCUUAACUUGGGUGCUGCAUUUGAAACUGGGUGUCUAGAGUGCAGGAGAGGUAAGUGGAAUUCCUAGUGUAGCGGUGAAAUGCGUAGAGAUCGGGAAGAACACCAGUGGCGAAGGCGGCCGGCUGGGGGGCGCCCUGACGC
rnacentral:rRNA from 1 species